CUGUGCUGUGGUGGUUAAACAAGGUUAGUUCAGUUUGGUUUAGUUUAUGUUAAUAAAAACCAGGUAACACCUAAAUAAAUACAAAUUGUUCCAAUAGCAUCAUCAUUGGGUUGGGUUAGUGUUGUACAGUUUUCUAUCAAAACUGAUUGUCAAAAGCGCCAAAUUAUACCUAGUCGUGUCUUUUCAUGAGUAACUUAGCUUAUAGAAAAAAGCUAAACGUUUUGUUAAUGAUACCUUGUUUGUUUAUAAACUAUAGGCCUACCACUUUCAAAAGAACCUGCGCAGAACCAUGGCUGUCUCGCGCAUGUAGGGGUGAAGGGUGAUGGUGGGGAAGGGCCUGGAGCAGUGGUGGGGAUAAGUCGUUGGGGCGAGGUGUCUUUCCCCACCACUCUGACUCUCCUGCUGUCCUGCAUGCACGACUCAUACAGAGUCAUUGAUUGAGGUGCUGGUGAACUGAUUGAAGACUUAAAAAUGUUUUGUUAUUAGUGUGAGGUGUGAUAGUACGGACUGUUGUGAUAAAUUACCACUGUUUAUGAUUUACUUUAUAUGUUUUAAAAUAAAUGUUCUACAUAAACUAUUAAAA